CCUACGGGUGGCAGCAGUGAGGAAUAUUGGUCAAUGGUCGGGAGACUGAACCAGCCAAGCCGCGUGAGGGAGGAAGGUACAGAGUAUCGUAAACCUCUUUUGUCAGGGAACAAAGCCUGGGACGCGUCCCCGGAUGAGUGUACCUGAAGAACAAGCAUCGGCUAACUCCGUGCCAGCAGCUGCGGUAAUACGGAGGAUGCGGGCGUUCUCCGGUUUUAUUGGGUUUAAAGGGAGCGCCGGCGUGCUGUUAAGUGAGCGGUCAAAGCCCGGGGCUCACCCCCGGCCCGCCGUUGAAACUGGCAGUCUCGAGUUGGAGAGAAGUAUGCGGAAUGCGCGGUGUAGCGGUGAAAUGCAUAGAUAUCGCGCAGAACUCCGAUUGCGAAGGCAGCAUGCCGGCUCCACACUGACGCUGAGGCACGAAAGCGUGGGUAUCGAACAGGAUUAGAUACCCCGGUAGUC
rnacentral:rRNA from 1 species